rnacentral:siRNA from 1 species
UAGCUGGAAAACCAAAUGACGGUU